GCCUUUGGAUGUUUGGGAUACCUGCAAAAUCUCUUCUUAAUUUUUGAUACUCAAGCCAGAAAAGUAGCAACCCAAGAGGGUGAAUUGGGUUCUUUCAAAAAUUUCAACUAAAUAAAUAUUUAAACAAAUAUGUGAUUUAAAUUAAACUAAUUUUUGUAUUUAUGAAGUGUAAGCCAUAUAUAGCAGUGGAAUAAGUAAAACUAUAUAAGAAUUAAAAUGAAAUAAGGCAAGUGAAA
rnacentral:lncRNA from 1 species